GAAAGGCGUGCGGCACCCAGCAGCCACUGCGCGACAGGGCCGCCGGCGCUUGCGUACGUUAGCGUCAUUUCCGCGUCGUCCGUUUUGGCUCCCACCACCCAAUCCUAAAACGCGACCCCUGGCUCCACCCUCGACUGAGGAGCCCCCCCCUCCGGCUGGAGCGGCGCAGGCGCGGAAGAGUAGAAGUCACAAGCUCAGACGGACAUCAAAAGGGAGAUAAGACACUUCUACAAAAGCUAAUAAUACAAGGUAAAAUGUGGGGAUUGAAGAACAACUCUCCCCAGGCUCUGGUGGUUCUCUCAUCCUGACAGGAGAAAGAAGAGACAGGGGAUUGAAGAACAACUGUCCUCGGGCUCUGGUGGUUCUCUCAUCCUGACAGUAGGAAGAAGAGAGAGAUUAGUAGGACAAACUACAACCCUUGUAGUAAAACAAAAAAAAGUUUUAUUUUUUUAAUGCCCAUAUCAUUAAACCAUAGCAUGUUAAAAUUUUUGACCCUUACCCCAUGGGUUCUGUUUAUGGUUCUUUUCUGGUAACAACUAUACAUUAUUGGUUAAAACAAUGAUGACAACUUC